AGGGGCCUCCUAACCCCCAAACCUCCCUGCUGACAUCAGAAGCCGGCAGUUGUCUGGGCGUCCUAUCCGCCCACCCAGCAAUGAGAGGAUUGUCUGUGGGGGAGAUGGAUUAAAUGGUCAAGGAUGUCCAGUUCUUUGGGUUUGUGGGGCUGCUGCUUUGGAAGAUCUGACCCAUUACAUUGUUGAAUGUCAACUUUAUACCAGUAUUAGAGAACAACACCUGCCCCCACCACCCCGGCCAAUGAAAAUGAAUGAAAUGUAAAUUUACUGUUAUUUCUAGGUUUAAAUUUAUUUUAUUGUU